GUCUACGGCCAUGCCACCCUGAACAAGGCCAAUCCCAUCUGAUCUCGGAAGCUAAGCAGGGUCGGGCUUAGCUUAGCUGGUUGGAUGGGAGACCACCUAGAUAGACCAGGUACUGUAGGUG
ensembl:rRNA 5S_rRNA 5S ribosomal RNA